rnacentral:rRNA from 1 species
CGCGUAGGCGGUUUCUUGGGUCAGAUGUGAAAGCCCGGGGCUUAACCCCGGAAGUGCAUUUGAAACUAAGUAACUUGAGUAUGGGAGAGGGAAGUGGAAUUCCUGGUGUAGAGGUGAAAUUCGUAGAUAUCAGGAGGAACACCGGUGGCGAAGGCGACUUCCUGGACCAAUACUGACGCUGAGGCGCGAAGGCGUGGGGAGCAAACAGGAUUAGAUACCCUGGUAGUCC